rnacentral:rRNA from 1 species
GGGGAAUAUUGGACAAUGGGGGAAACCCUGAUCCAGCGACGCCGCGUGGGUGAAGAAGGCCUGCGGGUUGUAAAGCCCUUUCGGUUGGGAAGAAAAGUUGCGACCUAUCACGUCGCGACCUUGACGUAACCAACUAAAGAAGCACCGGCUAACUCUGUGCCAGCAGCCGCGGUAAUACAGAGGGUGCGAGCGUUAAUCGGAAUUACUGGGCGUAAAGCGCGCGUAGGCGGCUUGGCAAGUCGGGUGUGAAAUCCCCGGGCUCAACCUGGGAACUGCAUUCGAGACUGCGUUGCUAGAGUAUGGGAGAGGGAAGUGGAAUUUCCGGUGUAGCGGUGAAAUGCGUAGAUAUCGGAAGGAACAUCAGUGGCGAAAGCGACUUCCUGGACCAAUACUGACGCUCAUGUGCGAAAGCGUGGGGAGCAAACA